AGUGCGACAUGGGACGUUGUUGUGUUCCCGGGUGCCGCGGCAAUUAAGACAGUGGUCCCAAAGUACGUGUUUUCGCAUUCCCCAAGGAUGAAGCUCGGAAGAAGUCUUGGAUAAAAGCCAUUCCGUGAAAGGAUUUCACACCAAGGAUACACUCCAAGGUCUGUGAACUCCACUUCCUCGAGGAUAACUUCAUCACAAAGCUGUCACAUUUCGAGGCAGCGUCGGAAAGGACAGUGACAGUCGACAGCAAGAGGGGUGCGCCUGGUGUCGGAUGCUACACCAUCGCAGUUUCCGAACUGUCCGUCCUACCUGAGCACGAAUGGCAAUCGUCGAGAAUCUCCUGUCUCGAAACGAGCUCGAAUCGAAGACGAGUCCUUGAGCAACGCGAUUAAGGAC